UGACGGUAUUUAACCAGAAAGCCACGGCUAACUACGUGCCAGCAGCCGCGGUAAUACGUAGGUGGCAAGCGUUGUCCGGAUUUAUUGGGCGUAAAGCGAGCGCAGGCGGUUUUUUAAGUCUGAUGUGAAAGCCUUCGGCUCAACCGAAGAAGUGCAUCGGAAACUGGGAAACUUGAGUGCAGAAGAGGACAGUGGAACUCCAUGUGUAGCGGUGAAAUGCGUAGAUAUAUGGAAGAACACCAGUGGCGAAUGCGGCUGUCUGGUCUGUAACUGACGCUGAGGCUCGAAAGUAUGGGUAGCAUACAGGAUUAUAUACCCUGGUAGUCCCUACCGUAAACGAUGAACGCUAACUGUUGCAGGGUUUCCGCUCUCUCACUGUUGCAUCUAACGCUUUAAGCGAUCCGCCUGGGGAGUACUGCCACAUAGAUAACACUCAGAGGAAUUGUUGGGCGCCCGCA
rnacentral:rRNA from 2 species